CUGCAGUGAUGGGGAAGUUCUGUCAACCCUGGCCUGCUUUGGGACACCAGUGGACCUCCCCAGAGCUGGUGGUGAAAAUUCCUGGAGGAUGCCAAGACAGGAGGAUUGCUUGAUGCCAAGACAGGAGGAUUGCUUGAGGCCAAGUAUUCAAGACCAGCCUGGGCAACACAGACAUUGCAACAUCCCUGUCUUUACCAAAAAGGAAAAAAUUAGCCAGCCAUGGUGGCAUGCACCUAUGGGCCUAGUUACUCAAGAGGCUGACGUGGGAAGAUAGCUUGAGCCCAGGAGUUCAAGGUUACAGUGUCCAGCCUGGGUGACAGAAUAAGACCACGUCUCAAAAAACAAAGAAACAAACAAACCAGCCUGGGACCUCCUCCCUGCUUUGCUUCCUCUUCAGCAUGUGUGAUCUCUUUGCACAUGCCGAUUCCCCUUUCACAUUCCACCUUGAGCUGAAGCAGCCUGAGACCCUCACCAGAGGCCCAAUCUUGAACUUUCCAGCCACCAGAAUUGCAAGCUAAAUAAACCUCUUUUCUUCAUAAA
rnacentral:lncRNA from 1 species